UGAAUGAUGCUGUGGAGCACCAUGAUGACCUGCAGGAGGAUACCCUUGUGGAGGAUAUCCUUGUUGUGGAGGAUAUCCUCCUUGCGGAGGAUAACCCUGCGGUGGAUACCCUUGCUGUGGAGGGUACCCUUGUUGAGGAGGGUACCCUUGAGGAGGAUACCCUUGCUGCGGAGGGUAACCACCGUGCUGUGGAGGAUACUGUCCUGGAUGUCCGUGAUGACCACCAGCAAGAUGACUCAUACCUCCCGCUAUAUUGCUAAAGAUUCCCUUAUCAGAAUCAUCCUUA
rnacentral:lncRNA from 1 species